rnacentral:lncRNA from 1 species
AUUUUUAUUUAUUUAUUCAUGAGAGACACAGAGAGAGACAGAGACACAGGCAAAGGAAGAAGCAGGCUCCAGGCAGGGAGCCCAACAAGGGACUCAAUCCUGGGACUCCAGGAUCACACCCUGGGCCGAAGGCAGGCGCUAAACCACUGAGCCACCCAAGGAUCCCAACCUGGGAGUUUCUUAAAGAUCUAGCGGUUCGCCUCCCCAACCCUGAUUUCUCAAUGGUAAUUUUCAGGGAGACCAGAGAAUGUCUUUUCACCAACUUUCCCAGGUAUCCCCAAUUCUCUCCUCUUUCACCCAAUCCUUGGUGCAGCCGUGAGAGAGGGCAGGGCUGGGGACGACCUCUCGCCAUGCACCACCCCGUGGCAGGCAUCGGUUUCCCUUAUCUCCUGAACUCUGCAGGCAAUGGGUUUGAGAAGAAGCAGAGACGCAGGGAGGUUUGAAGACUAUAGUCUGGCGCCAAAUGCAGGCUUGUUGCCUCCAUUUACAAGCUUUGUUCUUUUUACAAUAAACAGAAACUCAUUAGAAUUUGUUUAGAACAGUAAUGAAGAAAGUAUAUUUACUCUCAUUUUCCCAGAGAGGAGGAAGCUAAAGCCCAGAGAGGGGAAAUGAUGUGCCAGGAUGUACAAAACUACUGAGUGAAAGAGCAGAUACUUGGUAAUGUGACUCCAGGCCUUUUCCCUGCUCACGCCUCACUACGCUAUGUUCCCUGAGUCCAUGGGGAGAAGCAUGGACAACCCCCAGCUAGGGGGCAGCUGGACCAGAUGUGCCAGGAUGGCUGGGGGAGGGGCCAGGGGAAGACAAGGAAACGGAGAGGUAAAUCCUGCUUGGCUUCUGCACUUUGCACCCUCUGGGCAGGCCCAGACUCAUCCUCAGCCUCCCACACUUGGGGCCCUCAAGUGUCAAGGUCAGCUAGAAGGUGGGGCCUGACCACAGACAGCCACAGCCACUGGGGAGGGGUGGGGUGGGAGGGUUUAGGGGGCUGGACUGCCAAAGACGAUGACUGAUGCUUUAGGUAGUCGCAUCUCUUUUUAAAGGUACCAUUCCCACUUUACCCACGAGGAAGCGGAGGCUGGGCUGAACCCCACAUUCUAACGCCAUCUGGCUCCUUCCCAUUCACCUCUGGCCCUGGUGGUCCCACAGGCGGCAGUGCGCUGCCCGGCGGGAGAUGUGAGGGCGGAGGGCCAGGGCUAGCUGCGCCAUUACUCACAGCCAACCACAGGAAGGAGUGAAGGGGCUCGCCCAGCCUUUCAUUCUCUCUGGGGCGUGGCACUCCUCCAGCGAGGCCCUUAACCUGCAGGUUACGAUGAAAGGUCUGGAGAAGCUGCCAGAGCCAGAGCCCUGCCCUGGAGGCAUCUUGGCUCACCCCAAAGCACUCCCCUCUCCUGGGCGGGUCAACACUGAAACAAUUGCUCUGAAUAGGUUUAUGGGAAUGGGCAGGGACCACAGCAGGUCUUUGGCUACAAUGUGCCAGAAAGGAAAUAGGAGGGCUUUAGUCCAUCUGGGAACAUAGGAUGUCAUGGGAAACCCAAAUUCCUUAACAGGAUUUUCUGCUAUCCCUGGUCUCACUUCAGCCCACUUCAAUGCUUAUAAGCAUCGCAAUGAUUACCACUGGAUCUCUGCACCCUGUUCUGACUGAAAGGUCACUUCUCAAAUCCCACCCCACCUGUGCCAGACACUCAGUGAUCCCUGGCAGUCAAUCUCCCUUUCUUCCUUCCUUGCCAACAAAACUUCACUGGAAAUAGUAGGUGCCCAGCCCCCAGGGGCAAGUCCGGGUCUAUGGCCUGCCCAUUUUCCCUUUCUGUUUUCCCAAAUUUACCACUUGGGAAAUCUUCUAUGUGAAACAUCUUCUAGAGAAUGACAUCUUUUGGGGAAAAUAUGGCUUCCUGAUGGCUUCUUCCUGCUUCGCAACUGGUAUGAGGUGUGGAGCUGCCACAACCUUCUAUGAGAUUAUGCAACAAUAAAAUGGCAAGCCCUGCUGAGGAUGGAGGGGAAUCACAGUAAGAGCCCAGUUCCUUAUAAGUACUGUAGACACUGUGACCAAUACCUGAAACUGCCUGCCAUCAGACUUAUGUGAGCAAAAUAUUCCAUUUGUUUAUGCUAGUUAUUCCACGCAGCUGGAAACAUUCCUGAGGCAUCAGAAAUGUCACUUCCGGGGCACCUGGGUAGUUCAGCAGUUAAGCAUCUGCCUUUGGCUCAUGUCAUGACCCCGGGGUCCUGGGAUAGAGUCCCACAUCGAGAUCCCUGCAGGGAGCCUGCUUCUCCCUCUGCCUAUGUCUCUGCCUCUCUCUCUGUCUCUCUCAUGAAUAAACAAUAUCUUAAAAAAAAAAAAAAAAAAGCAUCUGCCUUCAGCUCAGGUCAUGGUCCCAGGGAUCCCUGUUCAGUGGGGAAUCUGCUUCUUCCUCUCCCCCUGCUUAUUUUCUCUCUCUCGCUCUCACUCUCCCCACUCUCUCAAAUAAAUAAAAUCUUAAAAAAAAACAUGCCUUGGCUGGUAAAAACAGGAUCAAGGGCCCCCUCCUCAGAGCAGUGGACACAUUGUGCCUCUCAUGAUCUCUGCACUCGCUGACUCAUCCAUAGGCCCCAGGAAACUGAGGUAGGUAGCAGGACCCCAUGGUGUUCACCAUUUUAUUCAAAACCCCAUGGGCAGCCUGGGUGGCUCAGCGGUUUAGCGCUGCCUUCAGCCCAGGUUGUGAUCCUGGAGACCCGGGAUCGAGUCCCAUGUCAGGCUCCCUGCUUGGAGCCUGCUUCUCCCUCUGCCUGUGUCUCUGCCUCUCUUUCUCUCUUUCUGUCUCUCAUGAACAAAUAAAUAAAAUAUUAAAAAAAAAAAAAGCCUUCACAUUUGUCAAAUGCAUAAGUAUGCCCACAGCUGAUUGCUGGCACAACCUCCUUCGGGGCAAAGACCGGGCCUGGUCCUCAGGAGCUUGCAAAAACAGCUAACCACAUAACCUCAGAGGAAAGGAUGUGUGUGUACACACACAUUCUGGAGUGAGGUGGGUAGCACCUUGCCUGGCUAGAAGACAUGCCACUGCUCCCUGCACAGGACAGUCUAUAUCACUUCAUGACCUACGUCACUCUGCAGGCUAACAGAAUAUUUCCCUCUGUCUGCCUCUGUCCACUUCCAGCUAGAGCCACCCUCACCCACCCUCUGGGCUCGGAUUCAUCUGUAGCUUGGACUGCUUAGCUGCACUUGGAAGAACAGUAAGGCACCCAGGCUUCCGUCCCCUCCAAAUAGAGAAGCAAAUCAAACAUGCUGUGUCUCUUGAUCCUACCACACAGUAUGCCUUUGUGAUUACUGUCCCUCUUUCCUUACCUAUUAAACACUGCACCAAGUCUACUUAAAAAUCAUCCAGUUUCUCCUAUCUUCACAUUUUGGGAGCCAUCCUUCUAUUUUCCACCUUAUAUCCCUCCCAAGAGCUGAUCCUGUUUCUCACAGCCAGCAGGACAUUUGAGUAUAUUCU